UAAGGCUUUAGCUUAAUUAAAGUGUCUGGGUUGCAUUCAGAAGCUGUGGGAUAGAGUCCCGCAAGCCUUAU
rnacentral:tRNA from 1 species